CCUACGGGCGGCUGCAGUGAGGAAUAUUGGUCAAUGGACGAGAGUCUGAACCAGCCAAGUAGCGUGAAGGAUGACUGCCCUAUGGGUUGUAAACUUCUUUUAUAUAGGAAUAAAAUGUUCCACGUGUGGGAUUUUGUAUGUACCAUAUGAAUAAGGAUCGGCUAACUCCGUGCCAGCAGCCGCGGUAAUACGGAGGAUCCGAUCGUUAUCCGGAUUUAUUGGGUUUAAAGGGAGCGUAGGUGGAUUGUUAAGUCAGUUGUGAAAGUUUGCGGCUCAACCGUAAAAUUGCAGUUGAAACUGGCAGUCUUGAGUACAGUAGAGGUGGGCGGAAUUCGUGGUGUAGCGGUGAAAUGCUUAGAUAUCACGAAGAACUCCGAUUGCGAAGGCAGCUUACUGGACUGCAACUGACACUGAGGCUCGAAAGUGUGGGUAUCAAACAGGAUUAGAUACCCCUGUAGUC
rnacentral:rRNA from 1 species